CAGAGCUGCAGGCCCUGCCGCCAGACUGUCGGUCAAGGCAAACCUGCCUGGCAGCCCGCCCACAGCACACCCCUGCAGCCUGUGACUGCUACAGCACAACUCCCUCUGACCUGGAAAGCACUGCCGAGGUAUCCUGCCUGGGAGGGAAAACUGAGCUCCAAAAUACGCGAGACUCCAUUGGUCAUGGCUCCCCUUCCACCACAUAAAGUCACCUUCAUAACGUCACUGAGAUACGAACUAGUCAAGCUGACUGAAAUCUACUGAUAGCUUGAAACACUGGGCUUUAAUGAAAAGUAUUCUGAAUUCCUGUUACCACAUAAAGAAUCACCAAACCAGGACAAAGCCAGAUUUCCUUCCCCACAUUUUCAUAUGGGGAAAAUAUAGGAAAAGAGUCGGAAGAGAAAAUUCCUGAAGUUGAACAUUAUUGUUUAAUAUAAUCACAGAGUGGAAAUGAAGAAAUUUACAUGUCAUAUUAAACUGCGAGGUGAACAGUAUGAUUAUUUCAAAGCUCUGAUGGGAAUGGACAGUUUCACUGAAAACCUGCCAGCUGCGCAAUUUUUCUGGUCACAGUGGACAUGAUGAAGACUGGACCAUGACCGAACACCUUCUUUAAUACUUACUGAUGUAACUCCAAGUCCACCUUGCAAAUGAGGGUUAACCACUUC